rnacentral:lncRNA from 1 species
AGGAGUUCUAGACCAGCCUGGGCAACGUGGUGAAACCUCAUCUCUACUAAAAAUAUGAAAAUUAGCCUGGCAUGGUGACUGUGCCUGUAAUCCCAGCUACUCAGGAAGUUGAGGCAUGAGAAUCACUUGAACCCAGGAGGACCGGGUCCUGCGGGCCACUCUGUGGCGCAGUCGGGUCGCUAAGCGCAGGGAAGCCGGAGCCCGAAGGCAAGGAGAGACGCGGCGCGGGGCCGGGGAAGUGGGGCCUGGGCCCUGCGCUUCGCCAGCGGCAGUCCAGAGCCGUCCCACCCUGCGAAGAGUUGCGGGAACUGGCACCGCUCUGCCGUCCGCCGCUUCGACGCGGGAAGCUGUUGUUUACGGUGGUGUAAGACGAAAACCAAUUCAUAACUUUUUGUGAUAAAUGCCCCUUUAUAGGUGCCUCACACACCCCCUGCCUUUGCGCCCCCCACCCCCCCCCCCGAUGAAAGUAGGCCGAGGGCAUCGGCACAGAGCGGCCGCCGCAGUCCUGGCCGGGGCUUGAUUUAGAUAUUCGGGGAGACUGGGAUAAGGUAGGAAAUGAAGGAAAUUUCCCCAGGGAAAGGGGAAGAGAAGACAGAGGAGCUUAAGUGCCCACAUGAUUAUUAAGCAUGGCUGGUGAUUUACGGCCGGGCAGGCGGCUCCUGGCGGCUCCCUGCCCCCUCCCUCCCAGUGCCCUGCACCCUGGAGAGCCGCCAUGGGGAAGACAGAGGCCACCAGGUGGGCCCAGCACCCGAGCUCCGCCUUAUCUCCUGGGUCUAGGCCCUCGGCAGUCCCUGGGCAGGUGGCGCAGCACGGGACACAGCUCCUCCAUGUGCUGGGCACUGACAUCUGUCAUCGGGGCCACCUCACAGAACCCUGAUGGAUCACUGGCCGUGUCUUACAGGCCAGCAAGCCCAGGUCUGGAAGGUCAAGCCUCACGUGGCCCUCUAAACGGUGGAGUCUGAGCCAGCCGGGCCACCGGCCCAAACCCCAGGCCUUUCUCUCUACCACGGCCAGGUUCAGUGGCCUCUGGUGGGAAGGGCUGGGGAGGCCCUUGUCCCUCCUUAGAACAAGGGAUGCGGGUGGAAUGGCGGUGGCUGUGGUCGCGAAGCAGGCCUCUGCCCAUCCUGCCCUGCCUCCUGCCUUUCAGGGUGCGUGUCCUUCUCUUGGCUGAAUUCCAGUCUCCCCUUCAGGGGACUCUUGAGACCCUCAACAGCCAGCCCUGACCCCCUCCAUGGCCCCAUCUUCGACCUCUGUAGACUGUGGCCUAGUGUCACCUCCUUCUGGAAGCCCUCCUUGCUCUCCACUCACCCAUUGCCCUGCUGUGGGGCCUGGGACCUGGUAGUAGCCUGUCUGGGGACAGGGAAGUGUUCCUGUGGGAAAUAUUUUAUGAGUGAAUGAAUCAGAAGAGAAAGCCAUGACCUGCCUGCCUGUGCUCAGUGCCAUGUCAGAAGCCACCAAGCUGUGGCAUUGCCCCGGCAAGUUUAUUUUUCCACCUCCGCUAAGUAAGUUCCCCUUCAGGACUCAUCCGAGAGGUUGUGAAGCCACACGUCAUCAAAAACGGCAUCUUUGCAUUCAGCAGGCAGGCUGGUGCAGCCCGUGGUGGGGGACCAUCCUGCCCGCUGUGGGGUAAGGACGGCUGUGUGCACCAGGCUACAGGGAAGCCAAGGCUACUGCUUGGG